GGCAGGGCAUAGAUUGGUUAGAAACUCCCUCCAGCUUGUUCUAACUUCUUUCACCAUCUACUGCAAACCCUCAACCUCUUAACCUUGCCUUUUACCACCAUGAACUUAGUAAUCAAAGAGGGAGGGUUAAACAAUGUUGAAGUGAGGUAAUAGAGAGCAUUUGGUCAUAGCAAUGAUCAUUGAUAGUUGACUAUCUUGCAGAAAGAGAAAUGUUUCCGCAUAUGCGUUAAAAGGAAGAAUUUGGUCCUUUUCCCUCCCUUCCAAUCUGUUUUUUUUUAAUGAGAUAUAUUAAAAGUGGUCAAGUGAUUGUUUUGAGCUUCAUCUGUGGUCCUCAGUUUAUUGGAUUUGAAUGGCGAAAUUCCAGCCAUAUCUUAUCUCUUUUAUGAAGUAUGAUUAUAUAGGUUUUCUGUUAUCUUUUAUUGUUUUACGUUAGUCAUCUUAAGAACAAAUCUGUUUACUUAAGAUUACUUGAUCUUAAGUGGUUCCUCGU